GGGAGCAUCUUAAUAGUGGUAAAUACAUCUUUAACAUUUUUGAUAUUAAGGUGCCUCGUGUUGUCUUUGGCAUAAUAGAUCCUUACAUGUUGUGGGAAAAAAAGGAAGGAACAAAAGAAGGGAUAAAAGAAGGAAUGAAGAGAGAGAGUCAAAAAAGAAUAAAGUGGGAAAGAAGGUGAGAGCAAUAUAAUUAUACAUAUCAAUGCAAUAUGCAUUGAAUAUAGAAAGUAUGCCAAUCAUGCUGCUAAAUACUACUGCUCAUAUAAAAAUGCAUUAGUUCCCCAGGAGCUUAAAAAUCGGAAGACGAGACAUGUAUAUAAAUACCUCUAAAACACAACUAAUGUAGAGCCAUAGAGUAUACAAUACCAGGUAUCUACCAUAUGCACACUUCCUCUAAGAGACCACCCUGAGGCAGACAUAUUUUGGUCAUCGUGAUUCCAAACAUCUAGCCCCAGAUAACUGCAUUAGAAGAGGCGUUUGACCCAAAGGAAUUUCUUCUAAGAUGUAGCCUUUUGUGCAAAGAUGAGCUGAGCCAGUCAGUCUCUCUGGAGGGUGAAGUAGCUAGCAUGGGGAGCUGAGGCUGACAGGAUAUUACAGCCAGAGCCUGUGCAGGUCUCCUGGAUCGGAAGGAAACUGAAGUUAUGAAAAGCAGAAAUUAAGAGGAAGUACAGGUUCCACAUAUACCAAAAAAAUCCCCCAAAACUGAGCAGAUAAACAAUGAGGAAACAUUUCCAUAGACAGUAGAAAGAAAAAGACAUGUCACUGUGUGCACUUUUUUUGAGAGAGAUUUAUAGAGACAGAGCAAACAUGUGGCUCAGGAUAAUGAAGGAACUUGUAGAUGGCCUCUGGAGUGGCCUCAUCUUGUGACAGUUCCAGUUCUGGCACAGAGGUAUCCUUAUUAUCAACUCCUUUUCCUAAUAAGGUAUCAUCUACAAGGUUUUCCAUCCUUCAACUGAAGAUACAGGUGAAAACAAGAGUCCUAAAGAGGAAAGAGAGUAGAGUCCAGCAGUUCUAGCCCUUCCUCAACAAAGAUGACAGCAACAAUCCUUGCCAAGGGUCCUCACCUCUGGCCAACCCUCAGGGUUACUUGUCCUGGUGCAACUUUAAAAUACACUGAGGUCUGGAAAUUCUGAUGAGUUUAAAAAUCAGCAGAUCUAAGGUGGGGUCCAAACACCCACUUUUUUUUUUUUUUAAACAGAAUCACAGGAAUUCUCAGCAUAGCCAGAGGUGAAGAAUGCAGUAGCUAUGUCUUUGCAUAUGAAGCAACCAUGAACAUUAUUAGCCUUUGCAAAAGCUCUGUUUUUUGCUCUAUUUUGUGAGUUUGGAAAGCUUCAGACUCUCACUCUUUCUUCCAAGUUAAAUAUAUCAUGAUGUCAGUUGUUUUGGUGUUUAUCCUGUGAUUGGUGUCUACACAGCCCAACUUAGGAGCCACCAUUAUUUUUAAUCACCUGCUUUUCUCAAUAUUCCAUUCUCUUUCUUUCUUUCUCUCUUUCUCUUUCUUUCUUUUUGUCUUUUUUCUUAUUUUAUUAACUGAAUGUCUGCUAUAUUAAAGGAAUUGAGCUUGUAGCCUAGCUAUUGGGAUGAAGACACACACAUAUAUAUAUAUACAUAAUUACAAGCUAAAGUUGUAGGUGAUAUACUAUAAGCAUAAUGGCAACUUCAAGUUAAUUAUCCGGAAGUUACAAAAUAAUGUUUGGUAAGAUGCCUGAUUUCAAGAUUGCUUCAUCUGUUCACAUGGUUCUUGAUGUGUAAUUUUCCCUUUAAAUCCUCUCCCCUUUCCUGAACUGCUACUUUCUGACCUCAACACCAGUAUGGUGAUGUAUGUACAAUUUUUGCCACUCCCAAAUACUUUCCAAAUGAUUCUGUCAUCAAAAUAUUUACCUCUAGUUAGUGUAAGUUGAAUAACGAAGGACAGUAAUAUGCAUUAGCAUGUGUACCCAGCCCAAAAGACAGGCAUAUGUAAAAAUAACACACUAAGGUGGAAAGGUAACCCCAGAAACCAGUAAUACAGUCAUACUGAGCCCCGAUUUAAUUUGGUAAAUAUCAUCUGGCUACUGGGAAAUCAUGAGACAUAUUGUAGCAACAGAGUAGCAUGUCUCCUACAAAAACCUUUUUAUUUAUUUAAUCCAGUUCAUUAAUAAAGAUCUUCUUUUCAUUUUCCCGACGUACAAAUACUCCAAAACCACGAGCUCACAUUUUGACAGCUAAUUUUGCAGGAUAUAAUAUUCCUGCUUAACCCAAGAGGAAAAAGAGAUGGAUGAUUGAGAUUAAUCAUUUGUAAAAUUAUAAUUCUGUCACAGAUAAUAAUUUGCAAGAUCUUUCCCUUUUCUGAAAUCCCCAGAAUGCACUGUAAAUUGUCACACUUUGUAACAGAAUGUGUAACACAUUAGGGGACUCCUAAUAAAGCAAGUCUGCUAGAAAAACAAACCAAUUGCCUUAUAAUUGGCAUGUUCUCCCACGUGAUUAUUCUCCUGUGAAGGAACAUUGUGCCUUGGGUAAAGAAGGGUUUAAAAAUUAUUAUUCAAGAGGUGGUUAUCUCCAUCUCUUAUUACCAUUUGAGCUGUAAUAUAUGGUACUUCUUUGCCUUGUGUAAUUCUGUUAGAAUGUACAACUGUGUGCCCAGAAGGUGAAUUGAUCCCUGUGGACAAAUGAGCAAAUUCAGAAAAUUUUAAUUAUUUUCCAAUUUAAGAAAGACCAUCAAAAUGGACAUCUAAAAAUUGACUUUUUGAGAAUGGCUACAUGAGUCCAUGAUGGACAGGGCUUGCUGUUUUACAAGCAGAACUCUCUGUGAACUUUACGUUAUUUUUAAAGUCAAUUUGAUAGGCACUUAAUACUGUUUCAACAACAAAAGCAAAGAAACCGUAGGAUUUUAUCUAAGGUUGGCAGAUAAUUUUAAGGUUAUACAGGAUUUGAUGAAAGAAGGUCUAUGAGCCUCUAUAGUUUCUUGGUCCAUGUUAGCUAAAUUGAUUAGGGCAGAAGCUAAUAAGAUCAAGGUUAUGAGUUCAAUUCCCGUGUGAGUCAGCUAGCUUUGCUGCGUCCACAUCUGCAGACUAUAUUCAAAUCCAACAGUCUCAGGAAUAUAUCCCAAAGGGGUGCAGUGAAGAGAGAGUUUAAAUGAGUCAAAAUGCUGCCUAAUUCUUGUAAGAAAUAUUACUCAAAGGUCUGCUCUCCCAAGAGCUGAACAUUCUAACCAACUCCACUGCCACCACUUUAGUUUGAGCCAUCGUUAUCCCCUGCCAAGAUUAUUGCAUUAGCUUCCAGCUCUUCCCCCUGCUACAUCCCUUGCCGCCUUCAGAUUAUUUUCAACAAAGCAGCAGAGUGAGCCUGUUAAGAUGAGGUCAGAACAUACCACUCUUCUGCCCAAAACUCUCUGAUGGCUUCCCAACCAACUCCAAGUAAGAGCCAAAGUCCAUACUCUAGGCCAUUUGCAUUCCUCUUCAUCUAGUCCCUCCAGUCUUUCCUGAACCCAAUGGCAAUCUCUCCUCCCACUCCCUCGGUGACAUCUGGCAUAAGCUCCAUAGUAAGCUUCAGCUUUCACAACAUCUUAGGAAAAGGCUGUUUAUCAGCAGAAUUUGCUACAUAACAUAGUACCUGAGAAAAGGAGGGCAAAAUAUCUGGCUUCCUUCUUGAAAUCAGGAGUGGGAGAAAAAUGAGGACAAAAACAUAAAUAGAUCCCAUUGUUUCUUUAUGAGCCAUAAAAGCUCAUAAAUAUAAUCAAAAUAAUUUAAUAUUUCAUAAAUACAAAUUAUCCCACUAUGCAUAAAUAGAAAUCCCUGAUUGCCUCAAAAGAACUUUCCUAAAUCUUUUGUAAGCACACAGCCCAAGGCAGUAGAGUGUGACACAAUUUAAAGCAGGAGGUGAUUUAGGAAGGUUUGCUCUGAGUCUCCAUAAAGUAGGGUAAAAAUACACAGGACCAGAAAUAAGGUGCUUAGAAAUUUUGGAAGAAAAUGUUACAAAACUUCUUUGAGUACGCAUUAGCAAACUUAAUGAGGGCAAUCACAUAAGAGAAUUUUUUUUAGCAGUUAACUCUCUAAGUGAAAAUACAAUUGAGAGGUGAAGCCAGCUGGGCUUCUCGGUUGGGUAGUGACUUGGAGAACUUUUCUGUCUAGCUAAAAGAUUGUAAACACACCAAUCAGCACUCUGUCUAGCUAAAGGUUUGUAAAUGCACCAAUCAGCUCUCUGUAAAAACGCACCAAUCAGCACUCUGUGUCUAGCUAAAGGUUUGUAAACGCACCAAUCAGCACUCUGUAAAAAUGUACCACUCAGCACUCUACAUCUAGCUAAAGGUUUGUAAAUGUACCAAUCUGCACUCUAUAAAAACAGACCAAUCAGCACUCUGUAAAAUGGACCAAUCAGCGGGAUGUAGGCGGGGCCAAAUAAGGAAAUAAAAGCAGGCCACCCGAGCCAGCAGCGGCAACCUGCUUGGGUUUCUUCCCACAUUAUGGAAUCUUUGUUCUUUUGCUCUUCACAAUAAAUCUUGCUGCUGCUCACUCUCUGGGUCUGUGCCACCUUUAAGAGCUGUAACACUCACUGCAAAGGUCUGCAGUUUCACUCCUGAAAUCAGCCAGACCACGAAUCCACCAGGAGGAACAAACAACCCCAGAUGCACCACCUUUAAGAGCUGUAAUACUCACUGCGAAUGUCUGCAGCUUUACUUCUGAAGUCAGUGAGACCAAGAACCCACCAGAAGGAAGAAAUGCCAGACACGUCUGAACACCUGAAGGAACAAACUCCGGACACACCAUCUUUAAGAGCUGUAACACUCACUGCAAGGGUCCAUGGAUUCAUUCUUGAAGUCAGCGAGACCAAGAACCCAACAGAAGGAACCAAUUCUGGACACACAAUGAUUUACGUUUACAAACUCAUAUAAUCUCACUUGUGCAUGUGGUCUGUACAUAAGGCAUUCAUGCAUUCACAAAAUAUUGAAUGAGCGCCUACUAUCAGUUAGGCAUGGUUUUAGGUGCUGGUUUGUAGAUUAAUGAACAAAAUACAGAAGAAUCCUGCCUUUAUGGGGAUUAUAUUCUAGUGGAAGGGAACUACUAAAGACACAACUACUUCACAAGAAACAGGAGACCACCAUUACCACGAAUAACAUCUAGCCCUGCUAGGAGUUAACUGAAAUACUGAGCUAUGAAAUUCAUCCUGGAUUCAAGAGACAUGAGCCUGAAGAGAAUCAGAUGGUGGGUCUAAUGGAAAAAUUAACAACCUCUGCUAUUCUUAUCCAUAUCUUCUUCAUUUGGACUUUAUGCAAGCCUGUGCUUCUAAACUAACAAAAGAGGCUAUGCCUACACACAAUCAAAACAACCAGCAGAAAACUGGAAAAUCCAAUCAGCCAGGUGUUUUGCCUACAUAAUCUCUUAUGGCCAGUUUGACUAAUUGUUUUCACUAUGUUGACUCUUUUCAUUUUAAUAACUGCUUUUUUCCCUAUAAGAUAAUGUAUAUUCACUGUGGAAAAUAUACACAAUUUAUUACAAAUGUAUUUUUUAAUCCAGAAUUCCUAUACUGUUAACAUUUUUGUAUAUCUCUUUUAAGUAUUUUUAAUAAAUGCCAUAUCUUUCUGUAUGUGUAUAUGUAUGUGUGUGUGUUUGUAGUUUUACAUAUAUUCUCUCUAUACUAUUUUAUAACCUGUUUCUCUUGGCUAAAAAUAAAUUAUAAUUAUUUUCCUAGGU
rnacentral:lncRNA from 1 species